rnacentral:rRNA from 1 species
GAAGAACGCUGGCGGCGUGCUUAACACAUGCAAGUCGAACGGUGAAGCGCCUUCCUUUUUGGUGGGUGUGGAUGAGUGGCGAACGGGUGAGUAACACGUGAGUAACCUGCCCCCUUCUUCUGGAUAACCGCAUGAAAGUGUGGCUAAUACGGGAUAUUCUGGGUCUGUCGCAUGAUGGGUCUGGGAAAGAUAUUGUUUCGGUGGGGGAUGGGCUCGCGGCCUAUCAGCUUGUUGGUGGGGUGAUGGCCUACCAAGGCGGUGACGGGUAGCCGGCCUGAGAGGGUGGACGGUCACACUGGGACUGAGACACGGCCCAGACUCCUACGGGAGGCAGCAGUGGGGAAUAUUGCACAAUGGGCGCAAGCCUGAUGCAGCGACGCCGCGUGAGGGAUGGAGGCCUUCGGGUUGUGAACCUCUUUCGCCAGUGAAGCAGGCCUGCCUCGUUUGUGGGUGGGUUGACGGUAGCUGGAUAAGAAGCGCCGGCUAACUACGUG